GCCAACAUGGUGAAACCUCGUCUCUAUUUUAAAAAAAAAAUUGUGUAGUCCGGAAGCUGGCAGUCUCCUCAGUCGUCAGACUAGUGCUAGCGACACGGGAGUGGCUAACACAUCCUCUUGCUGUUCCCAGUGUUUGGGCCUUGCCUGUGAUGGUGGGAAAAGAAAAUGGCCUUGCUGUGCUACAACUGGGGCUGCGGUCAGUGCUUCGAUCCUGAGACCAAUUCCGAUGAUGCUUGCAUGUACCACCCAGGUGUCCCAGUCUUUCACGGUACAUUAAAGGGUUGGUCUUGCUGUAAGAGAAGAACAAUGGAUUUUUCUGAUUUUUAAGCAUUGUAGGCUAUACAUAAGGUAGACAUAAUAGUGAGAAGCCACCUGAGCCAGUCAAACCUGAAGUCAAGACUACUGAGAAGAAGGAACUAUCUGAAUUGAAACCCAAAUUUCAGAACACAUCAUUCAAGCUCCUAAGUUAGUAGAAGCAAUAAAAACGCCAAGCCCAGAUGAACCAAUGACAAAUUUGGAAUUAAAAAUAUCUGCCUUUCCAAAACAAGCACUUGACAAACUGUCAUCAGGGAAUGACGAAGAUAAGAAAGAAGAAGACAAUGAUGAAAUUAAGGUUGGGACCUCAUGUAAGAAUGGAGGGUGUUCAAAGACAUAUUGGUGUCUAGAAAGUCUAGAAGAAGUCUGUGUAUAUCAAUCUGGAGUGCCUAUUUUCCAUGAGGGGAUGAAAUACCUAAGCUGUUGUAGAAGAAAAUCUUCUGACUUUAAUACAUUCUUAGCCCAAGAGGGCUGUACAACAGGGAAACACAUAUGGACUAAAAAGGAUGCUGGGACAAAAGUUGUUCCAUGUACACAUAACUGGCAUCGGACUGGAGGUGAAGUUACCAUUUCAGUAUAUGCUAAAGAUUCACUUCCAGAAGUUAGUCGAGUAGAAGCCCAUAGCACAUUGUUAAAUGUGCACAUUGUAUUUGAAGGAGAGAAGGAAUUUGAUCAAAAUGUGAAAAUAUGGGGUGUGACUGAUGUAAAGUGAAGUUAUGUAACUACAACUGCAACAAAGAUUGAGAUCACUAUGAGAAAAGCUGAACCGAUGCAGUGGGCAAGCCUUGAACUGUCUGCAGUGAAAAAGCAGGAAAAGCAAAAAGAUGACCCAGUAGAUUGAGUGGGAGGUGGGAGGAAGGCUAUUACGUAUUUCAGAAUUCUUAAUACUGUGUGAAGUGGUGACUUGCUGCUGAAAUCUUUUGUUUUGCUGUGGUGUUACUGAAUCUGGCAUUUCAGGGUUAACAUUAGGUUCUUAAAAGCCAAAGUCAGUUUGUCUUUUUGUGCCUCUCAUCUUUCUUUUGUGUUUUGUAAGACUGAUUGUUCAUUUCUCCUUACUGGUAGGAACCAUAGUUGUGUCCUGUACUUGAAGAGGCUGGAACAUAGCCCAUAACCAUAAUUGCAGUAU